UUAAUGGAUUUUCUAAAAUCCAUUAAAAUACAUAUUUUGGAAAAG
rfam:Macaca mulatta chromosome 13, whole genome shotgun sequence.